rnacentral:rRNA from 1 species
UACGGAGGGUGCAAGCGUUAUCCGGAUUUACUGGGUUUAAAGGGUGCGUAGGUGGGUCUGUAAGUCAGUGGUGAAAUCUCCGUGCUUAACAUGGAAACUGCCAUUGAUACUAUAGGUCUUGAAUUUUCUGGAGGUAAGCGGAAUAUGUCAUGUAGCGGUGAAAUGCUUAGAUAUGACAUAGAACACCAAUUGCGAAGGCAGCUUGCUACAGGGAUAUUGACACUGAGGCACGAAAGCGUGGGGAUCAAACAGG